ensembl:lncRNA
UAGUUGGAUAGGUCUGGAUAGUUGGAUAGGUCUGGAUAGAUAGAUAGGUCUGGAUAUGUCUGGAUAGUUGGAUAGGUCUGGAUAGUUGGAUAGGUCUGGAUAGUUGGAUAGGUCUGGAUAGUUGGAUAGGGCUGGAUAGUUGGAUAGGGCUGGAUAGUUGGAUAGGUCUGGAUAGGUGGAUAGUUGGAUAGGUCUGGAUAGGUCUGGAUAGUUGGAUAGGUCUGGAUCGUUGGAUAGGUCUGGAUAGGUCUGGAUAGUUGGUUAGGUCUGGAUAGUUGGAUAGGUCUGGAUAGUUGGAUAGGUCUGGAUAGUUGGAUAGGGCUGGAUAGUUGGAUAGGUCUGAAUAGUUGGAUAGGUCUGGAUAGUUGGAUAGGUCUCGAUAGUUGGAUAGGUUUGGAUAGUUGGAUAGGUCUGGAUAGUUGGAUAGGUCUGGAUAGGUGGAUAGGUCUGGAUAGUUGGA